AAGUCACAAUAGAAAAAAAAAAGAGGACACUUAUCGUCCUUUUGAUCUUCGACGCUUCCCCAAAAGUUUUAACAUGUUGUCGGUGACAUCAAGAGGGGAAUCAUCUUCACCACGGCUAUUGUCCGAAGUAUGAGUCAGCCAAGCCAAAGCUUCUACCGCAGCAUCCCUCUC